AGUGUCCAACUACUAUUAUAGGAGACUGAAAGCAGGAGUUGCUGCUUCUAAGGGUUCUAAGCAUACCUGAGAUGUCCAGGGUACUCUUGUUGUAUGGCUGGUGCUCUGGACAGACACUUAGCUGUUCAUCAGCCCUGUGUGGAUGUCUCAGACACUCUGGACAACUCCAGUGGCACCAGACACUUCUGCUUGGUCAACUGAAUCACCAACAGACUCAACUCUGCUGUUAAACUUCCAGGCACCAUUCAGCUAUCAGUAGCCGUCUCUCACUGCUAGGGAGGUCAAGGCUAGCAGAAUCUCACAACAUCCAUCCAAGAUCCAUGCAGUGAUGAAAUGGUGGACCUCCUUCAUUUUUCUGUGAAGAAAUGUGGAAUAACAACAGUUCUUAAAACUCCACAGACCUUUUGAGGUUUAUACUGAGCUCUGAGCUGCUUUAGCUCUUGUGAAGAACUGAUUUCCAGCUGGGAGCCAAAGCAGUUUGAAAUGUCUGCAGCAGACAGCUGAGGAUACAGUUUAAUUAGCCUACUUUGAUCUUCUCUAUGGUGGCUGAUGAUUUACUACAGCUUGCAGCAUGUGAAAACUUCUGAAGAACCCCGUGGUUUUGACCAUAUUUUCUAGAUCUAUUGGAUUGUAAAAGAACAAAUGAAAAACAUUCACAGGAAGGUGUUGUGAGAAUGGGUAACUAUUACAUGCCUGCAAGGUGACAAAUUCUGGCUACUGUGUGCACAUGAAAGGAGUAGGAAAAGAGAGUGGAGACCAGUCCAAGAGCAUGAACUGGCUAAAAUGAGACCUGGCUGACAUUCAGCUAUCCAGAAAUAUGAGUGGCCCUCCUGGCUCUCCUUCACUGGGAACAGAGUUCUACAGACAUUUGUCCUGACUGAUGCUAUCCUAUGGAAAACAACCAGGACCACCACUUGGGCAGAGCUGGGGCACACUGGCAGCAUCUGGGGGGAGGCUAUUUCCUGAAUUGUAUUAUCAACCUGGCACUGGAUGAUUGGUGCCAAAUUAUUUUAAUUGAAAAAGAAAAAGGUCAUUUUUCAUACCAGUAUUCAACCAUCAAAAAGGUAAACUCUCGGCUUGUCAUUUUGUGCUGAGUGAGCCAAUAAAAACAUCA